rnacentral:rRNA from 1 species
GACAGAGGGUGCAAACGUUGUUCGGAAUUACUGGGCGUAAAGCGUGUGUAGGCGGCUUUGCAAGUCGGAUGUGAAAGCCCCGGGCUCAACCCGGGAAGUGCACUCGAUACUGCAGAGCUUGAGUGUCGGAGAGGUUGGUGGAAUUCUCGGUGUAGAGGUGAAAUUCGUAGAUAUCGAGAGGAACACUGGUGGCGAAGGCGGCCAACUGGACGAACACUGACGCUGAGACACGAAAGCGUGGGGAGCAAACAGG